rnacentral:lncRNA from 1 species
AGCACAUCCUUUGUACUCAUUUAGAAACGUAACUCUGAAUUUCUCUGUCUCUGCAAAGGGGUAAUUCCUGGGUGUUCUUCAGUGGUGAGUGAAGGCAUUUUUGCACAUGCUAUCGGAUGAACUGAGUCUAGAAUUUUGGUGAGACAUAUUUGAUACCGAAAAAAGUGAACCCCAGGAGAGGGCUCCAAGCUUCAGCUCUUGUCUGAGACUGUCCUGCACUGUGGCUGUAUGAUUACCAUAGCCCUUGACUUCUGAAUGGCAAAUGGCACCUGAAAGAGAAAUCACUAAGUCACAGGGUCGGCUCCAUCCUACUCCUCUAUACUAUACAGACCAGGGCUUGGACUUGGCUGUGUUCCUCUGCUGAAGGUUACAGCUACUGCUGCACAGCUGUCUUUGUACAGAUCUCCCCAGAUAAAGCCACAAUGUAAGGUUCCAGGUGGCCACACUUAUUUGGAGACACCAUUUAACACGGUUCUGCUUCUACUUCCAUGAGAACCUAGUGAAGAAGACACAGCCAGAGCUUUGAUCAAAGAUUCCAAAUGCAAAUACAACUAACCACCCAACUGGUCCCAUCAGCCAAUGUAUCUCUUUGUUACCUCAAGGGAGAUUGAUUUACGCUUUCAUCAAUAAAUCUUCAUAUUUUCAA